GGGAGAGAGAGCCUGGCUGCCGCGAUGGCCGGUCCGGAAACGGGUCGGCCACCACACGCGAGUGCUCGUUUUUCGGGCGCUCGCGCCCGCGAGGAAAGUCCCCCCACCCGUCGGGCGGGUGACCGGACGCAAGUCCGGAGCGGGAGACCGCUGGCUCUGGAACAGCAACGACACGUCUCGGCCCGAUCGAUGAUGCGUGCGAACCCAACCGCGAGGACGGGGAGUUAACCCGCAGAGAGCGCGUGGCCGCCUUGCGGCCACGGUGCGGCGGUUACCGCCGCACGGACGGCCGAGGACCGAUGGAACGGCGAAUCCUCACCGGUGCAAGUCCGCGUCGCAGGUAGCCCGACAGGACCGCUUUAGGCGGGCGGCGCGGACGCUCAGCCGAAUGCCGGGUCGAACAGAAGGGGGCUUACUCCUCUCACCC
rnacentral:RNase_P_RNA from 1 species